rnacentral:rRNA from 1 species
CGGCAACAGCUCAAAUUUGAAAUCUGGCCUUUGGUCCGAGUUGUAAUUUGCAGAGGAUGCUUCGGGCGCGGUGCCUUCCAAGUCCCCUGGAACGGGGCGCCGGAGAGGGUGAGAG